AUGGUUGCCAAGAAGAAGUCUGCUGUGGCCCCAACUGAAGCUCCACGGCGGGAAGAACCUCACAUUGUCUUCCCUACCAGCAUGACAGGCACGAAGCCUAAGGUCCCCAGAGCAGCUUCAGAACAGAAGAAAACCAGGGCAGCCGAAGCCGAAGCCAGAAAACGCAAAAUCAAGAACAACACUAAUGAUGCACCACCCCUCAAGAAGAGGAAAACCAAGAAGAGAGAUCGGUCUGCUACCAAAGAGCCCCUUGUUGUCGAGCCCAUUGCUUUUGCUCCCCCUGCAUCUGAAAAUCAAGAGCGUUAG
rnacentral:rRNA from 1 species